CUGCAUGAAGCUGGAAUCGCUAGUAAUCGCGGAUCAGAAUGCCGCGGUGAAUACGUUCCCGGGUCUUGUACACACCGCCCGUCACACCAUGGGAGUCGGGAAUGCCCGAAGUCAGUGACCCAACCGAAAGGGGGGAGCUGCCGAAGGCAGGCCUGGUAACUGGGGUGAAGUCGUAACAAGGUACC
rnacentral:rRNA from 1 species